CAGUGGGGGAUAACGUAGCGAAAGUUACGCUAAUACCGCAUAUUCUGUGCGCAGGAAAGCAGGGGAUCGCAAGACCUUGCGCUGAUUGAGCGGCCGAUAUCAGAUUAGCUAGUUGGUGAGGUAAAGGCUCACCAGGCGACGAUCUGUAGCGGGUCUGAGAGGAUGAUCCGCCACACUGGAACUGAGACACGGUCCAGACUCCUACGGGAGGCAGCAGUGGGGAGUUUUGGACAAUGGGGGCAACCCUGAUCCAGCCAUGCCGCGUGAGUGAAGAAGGCCUUCGGGUUGUAAAGCUCUUUCGGCCGGGAAGAAAUCGCAUGGGUUAAUACCCUGUGCGGAUGACGGUACCGGCAUAAGAAGCACCGGCUAACUACGUGCCAGCAGCCGCGGUAAUACGUAGGGUGCGAGCGUUAAUCGGAAUUACUGGGCGUAAAGCGUGCGCAGGCGGUUUUGUAAGACAGGCGUGAAAUCCCCGGGCUCAACCUGGGAACUGCGCUUGUGACUGCAAGGCUAGAGUAUGGCAGAGGGGGGUGGAAUUCCACGUGUAGCAGUGAAAUGCGUAGAGAUGUGGAGGAACACCAAUGGCGAAGGCAGCCCCCUGGGCCAAUACUGACGCUCAUGCACGAAAGCGUGGGUAGCAAACAGGAUUAGAUACCCUGGUAGUCCACGCCCUAAACGAUGUCAACUAGGUGUUGGGUGGGUAAAACCAUUUAGUACCGGAGCUAACGCGUGAAGUUGACCGCCUGGGGAGUACGGCCGCAAGGUUAAAACUCAAAGGAAUUGACGGGGACCCGCACAAGCGGUGGAUGAUGUGGAUUAAUUCGAUGCAACGCAAAAAACCUUACCUACCCUUGACAUGUCCAGGAGCCUGAAGAGAUUUGGGUGUGCCCGAAAGGGAACUGGAACACAGGUGCUGCAUGGCUGUCGUCAGCUCGUGUCGUGAGAUGUUGGGUUAAGUCCCGCAACGAGCGCAACCCUUGUCGUUAAUUGCCAUCAUUCAGUUGGGCACUUUAACGAGACUGCCGGUGACAAACCGGAGGAAGGUGGGGAUGACGUCAAGUCCUCAUGGCCCUUAUGGGUAGGGCUUCACACGUCAUACAAUGGUCGGUACAAAGGGUCGCCAACCCGCGAGGGGGAGCCAAUCCCAGAAAGCCGAUCGUAGUCCGGAUCGUAGGCUGCAACUCGCCUGCGUGAAGUCGGAAUCGCUAGUAAUCGUGGAUCAGCAUGUCACGGUGAAUACGUUCCCGGGUCUUGUACACACCGCCCGUCACACCAUGGGAGCGGGUUCCGCCAGAAGUAGGUAGCCUAACCGCAAGGGGGGCGCUUACCA
rnacentral:rRNA from 1 species